GUUCUUUUCUUUUUGACUUUGAAGUUUCAGAAACUUCUCUAUAGUUAAGGUCACUUUUGCAGAAAAAAUGGUCCAGUUUUCUACUGUUCCUAAUUUUCUGUUGAAAAGAACAUCAAGCAAUUUCAGGAUAUUAGGAAUUCCCCAAGACUGUGGAGAAGCUGCUUGCCUGAUGGAUUUUAUCUGGGUAAAAGAUCUGGUGAGUGUUAAGAGCUGCUCCCAGGGUCCUCUUCGGCUCAAAAGCCCUGUCAUUGGCUUGGAGAAAAACGUUCCCAUUUUAAAAGAUAAGACAACCCCCUUGAGGCAGAUUUUACCUCUUUGCUUUUUCCAUAGAAAUUGCAGAAUUUGUCUGGAGGCCACUGGGACUGAGUCUGUAACCCAGAUUAGAACUGUUUUCCACAACCUUUUCUUGGGAGCGGGGCAGAUUAGUGAGGGUGGCCAGCCUUGUGGAGAGCUCUUGGAUGUCUCCAGUGGGCCCAGGAAACCCUGUGGAGUUGAGACAAACCAGGGAGACGUUUGGGAUUGACGUUAGAGCAGGAAUCCCAUUUUCCUUCACCUGAAUGCAGAAAAGUAAAAAGAAAAAGCUUUUGCUGGAUAGUUUUCAUUUUAACUGUUUAUGUAAUUUUUGCUCUCAGUGUGACCUUCUGCCCUUCAGUUUUAGACGUGCUUGGGAAGCAAAAUGAAACCCCUGCAUCAGGACUGGAGGAUUCUCUGUACCUCUCAAGUUAGCUCUCUGGCAAACAAAGCACAGUGAACCACGGAAAGGAGUGAUUACUGCAGGACGAACCUUCCCUCCCCCGCCCCCCUUUUUUGGGACCUUGGUGGACUAAGCUGAAUUUCUGACAUUAGACAUGGUUUUUCAAGUGCUCAGGUCAUGAGGCAAUCGGAAAACCCCAGAGUGCCUCCUGAUAAUCUCUGCGGUGUGGGGAGGUGUGGGGAAGGCACACGGGCAUGCAGUUGGAAAGUCUGGGUCUUGCCUCUUUGUCCUGCCUCUUUGUCCUGCCUCUUCACAGCCGGAGGCCCUGGGUGAGACUUUUAACUUCUCUGGAAACUGUUUCCCCUUGUACAAAUGGGGAUAAUAAAUCCCAUAUAUCUCACAAAAUUGUUUUAAGUACGUAAAAAUGUAUGAAAAGAUAACUUAUUCUGUGCUUGAUAAAUGCGAUGUACUCUCAAUCUGUGUGUGCAGGGUUAUAAUCGAUGCCAUUUGGGGUAUUUUCUGCCACAAUCUCCCCCACCCCACCCCAAUUUAAUAAAACAAAGGUAAAGGUAACAUUUAAAAAAUUGCUGUAUUCAAAAUUAAUAAUAAACUUUAGGGUAAAUAAGCUUUAAAACAAAAGUACAUAAGCAAAAAUAAAUAAUUUACACCAACCCACUAACCUAAUUUUCAGAGUAAAGCCAUUUUCAAUUACAGCACUGUUAUCCCGGGCUCCAGCCUGUGGUCAAACUUUGAUAGUUCAUUAUUUUUUAAAAACAUUAACAAAAAACUGAACGCUAAGUAAAAUCUUUAACAAAACCAAAGCACUGGAUUUAACUUUUUAAUUUUAAAUAACCAAACUUUGUCAUUUUAUACAUAAUCCAAUGUGAUGGAUCCAAUUCAAUUUAAUUAGCAUUUCCACUUGAAGAGUUGAUAUUUUAACAGGGAUGGAAAACUGUAAUGAAUGGUCUUCAAACCGUGAGGUACAAAUAAAAACAUACAAGAAUACAGUAGAACAAAAACUGCAGACACCCUCUUAACUUGGGGAAAUAUUCAAAGGCUUUAUAUCCGUUAUUAUCUAUGAUGGCUUUUGGAAUUGAUUGUUUAAAGUAUAGAACCUUUAACGUUUUAGAUACAGCCUUUAUUUUUUUCACAGUAAGUUAAAAAUCCAUUGUAAGGCUCCAUUAGACUCCACCAAUCUUGCAUGUAGACUCUAGGAGUUUGCCAACUGAUAAAAGAGUAAUAUGAAAAUUUACUGUAUUGCCCUAAUUUCAUACAUCCUUGUACACAAUGAAUCAGUUUGGGAAUCUAUUCCAAGAAUUAUAUACACAAAAGUGUCAAGAAUAAAAUGUUCUCACUCUUGCAUAAAAUUGUGUACAGUAUUUCAGGAAUGGAAAAGUUCUAAUUUUCCUGGACCCGGGUUCAUGGAUGUCUGCUGCCUGAAGAUGAAAGGCUCCUCCUGCUGUAGUAAUGUUCCACUGUUCUGAGGAUUAAUCAUCCAACCCUGGCGUUUCUCCUUGUUGGAUCCUAGAUGCUAUUCUAAUGGCUUCUUCCAGAGAUGGCUGUUCUCCAAGCUGAAACAGGAACAACCACAAAGCCAUAGUCAAGAUAAUACCAAAGAAACAGUAUAUGAAGGAAGAGUUCUCUCUGUAGUUCUGACACCUGGACCUAUUUAAGAUACUAUGGCUGAUCCCAUCAUUAAGAGCACGCGCACGCGCGCGCACACACACACACACACACACACACACAAAGAAACAAACAAACAAAAAACCCGAAACAAAACAAAACAAAAAAAGAGCACACACACACAGAAUUCUUGCAGGAGAAUAAUGUAGUAGAUUUCUUAGGAUUUUGAUAAACCUUCACUCCUGCAACAGACAAAAGAUGCUCAUCUCUUCCAAUGGAGGCAUUUAGAGAGCUUCCGGAGCCUUUAGCUUCUAUGCCCAUAAACUAACUUAAAACCAAUGGUUGGCAUUUUCCUGAGCAUGUGCUAACUCUUCUCCAACUAAAUAAAUGAAAAACAACUCUUUCCAAGGAACGAUAAUCUGCACCUAGCAUUCUAGACUCUCUGCUUCAGUCCAGGGACCUGACAAUAGUUUUUUCUGCCUUCUGAUGUCCCCCCAACAUAAACUACAGCUGAGCAGUGACUGAUUCUCACCAGGGGACUAACUUAGGGUCUGUGUUUACACUCAGUUUGUCUCCAAGAAGUAGCUCUUCAAGUGCUUUAUAGAAGCCUGCCUAAUUAGACUUAUUUUGAAAGUAAAGAUGGCUGGCUAGGGGCACGCCGGAAUACCAGAAGCUUUAUUUUUCCUCCUGUAAAUUACUCUAAAAUAUACAAAGAUAAUAGAGAACAAAGUGCUGGUAUCUUUGAGUCCUCCUCAAACACAGCAGUUUUCUUCAAGUAGCUCAGUGCCAUAGAUUAUUCUGUGCCUGCUUCCUGAAAAGGUUAUGAAUAAAGCACAGCGCACAAGGCUGAGAGAUAUGAAGUAGUCCUGCUGUCGCCGAGGAUGGCGGUCACUGCACUCACCUGAACUGCAAUCUGGGUGCCGUUGGAUGUUGCCACUAAGGUCAGGGGUCUGGUUUCCGUGGUUACUAGGUGAUGGCUGUGCUGUUGGUGCCCCAUUUCCGAUGAGGCAGUGUGGAAUGCUGCCAAGUCCUGAGCCACAAUCGCAACCUUAAACAAAAAGUACAUGGAAGUAAAGCUAUGAUUAAUUAAA